UUUCAUGAGUUCAGUAUAAGCUGGACUGCUCAAAUGGACUUGGUAGUUUGUUUUUUAAAGGUAUCUGGGUACAAACCCUAGGAUAUCGACCCACGCAAAGAGCAGAAGAGUUCCUGUGACAUUCUGCUUAUCAAUUUGUUAUAAGCGUGAUAACAAAUGUAUAAGCAAAAACAAAAUUAUAAGCGUUGUUGGAUUUUCAUGUAGGGCUCCUGCUUUGGCAGGUGGAUUCUUUACCACUGCGUCACUAUGGAAGCAUAUCUGUUGCAUUCAUCAUCGUAUUCAUUAUAUCUUAGGGUCCAGCACAGCACCUGGUACAUAAUAGGUAAGCAAUAAACAUUCAUCAAGAGGACAAGUGAAUGAAAAGAAGGAAGGAGGAUCCAGUGAAGUCAUACUCAUAAAACUCCUAGGAGAGCACUCGACAGGUGGCAGGCGCUAAUUACUGUAAAUAAAUCUCUUAGUCCUUUGGGACUGGGAAGGGACUUGAGAUGGGGGUUACUGUCAACGUCUCAUGAGUAGUCUUAUCAGUGCCAUCUGUUUCCUCUUGCUCUUUGCUUCAAAGGCUGUAAAUGAUCUGGGCAGAUUCUANNNNNAUCUGACUCUACUCCCAAGCCAGGAUGUUGGAGUUAGAUCGGUGAGCCAGAAUCCAGAGGGAACCUCCCAGAGUGACCAUCCUCAAGUCUGAGGAGCCCACCUACCACAGGAGGACAUGCCUUGCCUUUGAGUCCAUCCUUGACUCCUUCCAGACUCCUGGGGAACAGCAUGGGUGUGAUAGGUGAGUAGGGACCCCAGGCUGGAGCUGGGGCAUUCNNNNNNNNNNNNNNNNNNNNNNNNNNNNNNNNNNNNNNNNNNNNNNNNNNNNNNNNNNNNNNNNNNNNNNNNNNNNNNNNNNNNNNNNNNNNNNNNNNNACUCCUUCCAGACUCCUGGGGAACAGCAUGGGCGUGAUAGGUGAGUAGGGACCCCAGGCUGGAGCUGGGGCAUUCGCUCUUCCCAUAACAACUGACCUGCCCGUCCCACCCAGGGUGAAUUCUGGUGGGCAGAGUGGGGAACUGAAGGUUGGCCUAGAGACCAUGCCACUAUGGAGCCUUAACUUUGUCCCAGGAUCAGUAGCUCUUUCACCUACUGUGCAUACUUUAUAGAUAUGAUCUUGUUUACAUCCACAACAACAUUAUGAGGUUUAAUAUCUCUCUACUUGUGAGGGAUGAGAAGACUAGGCUUAACGACAGUAAAUAGUGAAUGGCCACAUAGCUAGUAAGUGGGAGCUGAGAUUCAAUCCUGGGUCUGUUUGGUCCCUGUGGAAAGGGCUGGGCAUAACGGAGCCUUUAAAGGAUAUGGCAGAAAAGGGGCAAUGGGUGUCAUGCUCUCUGGAAGAGGGUGGAAGUGAUGGAAACUGCUUCUAGAACAGGAGAAGCACCCUAAUUACAAUGUCAGAGGGAGGCCCUGGCUUGCUUUGGCUGGAGUGAGACAGCACGAUGGAACAUACUGUCCCUGUAGCAGCCGUGCCUGCUCCUGACAAGUCUCAGACCCUCCCCUAGGAAAGCCCGAAGAUGACAGAGGACAUUACUGUCAGGAGAUCAGGAGACCAAGGAGAUGCUUCUCACCUUCUGCUGGGUGAGUGAGCAUGGAGGUUGGGAAAGUGGCCCACUGGACCCAAGGAAGGAUGACUCUCUGACCUUCAGCAUGAUCUGUCUGGGCCACUGGAUGACAUGCCAGGGUCAAAUGGCCUGAAUCAGUUAAGGAAGUUCUCCUUAACUGAUCAGUUAAGGAUCAGUUACACUUGAAGCAGCUUUCCAGGGAGAGCAAGACGCCAGAAGCUGCCGCUGGCCCUCUGCAGGGACAGGAAUCACAGGAACGCUUGAGCAUUGUCCCUGUGGGAGAAGACACCCAGGGCUCAAGGCAGACUGCCAGGGCCCUGAAUUAAACUCAUCUCCUGUUCCUUACAGGGUGGGUGGAAGGACAGGAAGGACCCAGGAGGUGUUGACCUAUCUGUUGAAACAGCCAAGCUGAGGGAUCAGGCACCCCUGCUUCUGAAGAAUCUGGCAAAAUAGAUACGCACAUGUACCUAGUCCCUGGGGGUUCAGUGGUAGAGAAUCUGCCCUCAGUGUUGCAGAUGCAGGUUGGAUCCCUGGGUUGGGCAUCCCUGGUUUGAUCCCUGCCUUCCCUAGAGAAUGGAAUGGCAACCCAGUCCAUUAUUCUUGCCUGGAGAAUUCCAUGGACAGAGAAGCCUGGUGGGCU
ensembl:lncRNA